rnacentral:lncRNA from 1 species
UACUUCAUCAUAGUGAUAUUGAAAAUACCUUACGCUAAUAUGAGUCUUUUUUUUUGACCAUGAGUUCAUAAUUAUUCAUCUAAAUGAAUGGAAGAAAAAUGCGUUAAAAUCACAAUAUCAAAAAUGGACAAGAUCAAUGGAUACUGUGGAUGGCAAAUCAUACCAGGGACUUGUAGUGAAAUCGUAAGAUUCCCACUAUUAUUUAAAUCAGUUGUAACAAACUAAAAUGAUGUCUGUCAAUGGGUGAAUAAUGAUUCAUUUGGAGCAUCAAUAAAAACAGAUUGAAAUGAAAAUUAGUCUUAUAAGAGAGAACAGGAAAAUAUACUAUGAUCUGGCCCACAACACGGAUCAGACCUAAACAGGAAAAAAACGCUUGCUAAGCUAUCCGUUUCACACAUGCACGGACAGAAGGUUCGAUAUUCAUUCGAUCGAUGAAUGAAAAGGCACAAUGGCAAAAUCAGACCGACUCCUUUUCAAAUCCACGUCUCCGAUUUCCCCCCCGCCACCCUUCCACAGUCUGCAGUCGCUCGGCGGCUGGUGUGACUAGCGGAGUGGAAUGGGAGAAAGAGCUAGAGAGUGAGGAGAGCAAGGGUUACUUCAAGGCUGCUCCCUGGACCGUGCAAACAAGUCUAGACCAGUGACCUGUUCAAUGGCUUCUUUUGAGGAGUGGGGCAAGUUCGGUCAGAGCGAGGAGAAAGACAGGCGUGCCCCUCUUUUCAGUGCCGGAGCAGCUCACAGCUCGCGGCUGCCUGGAGAGAGGAAGAGAGUGAGAAAUGACCAUGGGUGACUACUUACCCUUAAAGGCACACGAUCAACAAGGCUCCUAAUGGACCUUUCCUGCCAUUAGACCCAAGGAAGGAAAUGGAUGAAUAUCACAAUCUCUCCAGGACCAGCUGCAUUAGCAAAAGCAUUGUUGACCUCUUGCUGUCAUAGUUGUAGAAUAGUUGACAAUUUUAAACAUAUUUUGAAGUGUUUUUUUAGCCUCCACGUGUGCAUAAAAAAAUAAACCCCAUUGUAAUAAGUAUAUUGAGAGUAUUUUCAGUGAGUUAUUGUUGGAUAUAAUCCCCAUACACAUAUACUGAAUUAAAAUAUAAACGCAGCAUGCAGCAAUUUCAAAGACUUUACUGAGUUACAGUUCAUAUAAGGAAAUCAGCAGUUGUACUUAAGUAAAAAUAAGUCGUUUUUUGACUUAUUACUAAUUAUACUUUACUUAUUUAUAAUUACUUUACUAAUUAUAUUUUUGACAACUUGUACUUUUACUUCACUACAUUCCUAAAUAAGAUCAUUUACUUUUUACUCCAUACAUUUUCCCUGACACCCAAAAGUACUUUUGGCAUGCUUAGCAGGACAGGAAAAUGGUCCAAUUCACGCACUUAUCAAGAGAACAUCCCUGGUCAUCCCUACUGCCUCUGAUCUGGCAGACUCACUUAACACAAAUGCUUUCUUUGUAUUUAUUAAAGAUCCUUAUUAGCUGCUGCCCCUGGGGUCCAGCGACAUUAAAGCAAUUAUACAAUUUAAAAUAUGACAUGACAAACCCCCUAACACUUUUCACAACACGUUAAGUGUGUUCCCACAAGCCACUACUCUACUAUCACAUAUCUACAAUACAAAAUCCAUGUGUAAGUGUGUGUAGACUGUGUGUCUUAUCAUGUGUAUGUGUGUCUGUGCCUGUGUGUGUGUCUCUUCACAGUCCCCGCUGUUCCAUAAGGUGUAUUUUUAUCUGGUUUUAAAAUCUGAUUCUACUGCUUGCAUCAGUUACCUAAUGUGGAAUAGAGUUCCAUGUACUGUAGCCAUGGCUCUAUGUAAUACUCUGCGCCUCCCUUAGUCUGUUCUUGACUUGGGGAUUGUGAAGAGACCUUUGGUGGCUUGUCUUGUGGGGUAUGCAUGGGUGUCCAAGCUGUGUGCUAGUAGUUUAAACAGUGGUGUAAAGUACUUAACUAAAAAUACUUGAAAGUACUACUUAAGUAGUUGUUUGGGGUAUCUGUACCAUAUUUUUGACAACUUUUACUUCACUACAUUCCUAAAGACAAUAAUGUACUUUUUACUCCAUACAUUUUCCCUGACACCCAAAAGUACUCGUUACAUUUGGAAUGCUUAGCAGGACUGGAAAUUGUCUAAUUCACGCACUUAUCAAGAGAACAUCCCUGGUCAUCCCUACUGCCUCUGAUCUGGAGGACUCACUAAACACAUGCUUCAUUUGUAAAUUAUGUCUGAGUGUUGGAGUUUGCCCCUGGCUAUCCGUAUUUUUUUUAAAUAUAAAAUAAUAAUAUGCUUAAUAUAAGGAAUUUGAAACAAUUUAUACUUUUACUUUUGACACUUAAGUAUAUUUUAGCAAUUACAUUUACUUUUGAUACUUAAUUAUAUUUAAAGCAAAUACUUUGACUUUUACUCAAGUAUUUUACUGGAUGACUUUCACUUUUA